CUUGGAAGGUAUUUAAAAGAAAAAGGAAGAACCAGCACGGGAAUGAAAGCAGGCAGAAAUCCAGGCUCGCGUCUUGUGUUCCCAGACAUUCCAGCUAAAGUGGGAGAAAGAUUGUACCUGUCAAGGGGAGCUAUAGGAGACCGGAUGGGUGAGGUAAUAUCUUUUAUUGGACUGACUUCUGUUGGUGAGAGAGACUGACAUGGCUACAACAACAGUGCAUACAAGGGGAGCUAUAUCUUUUAUUCUGACUGCAUGAGAAGAGGAGACCAUGCUAGGCUUUGGAGGUCUCAUUGUGACUGAAGGAAAAGAAAAAGCAUACG